rnacentral:sRNA from 1 species
UGUUGAAGGACCUAACUUAGAAAUAGAA